rnacentral:lncRNA from 1 species
CCCUCCUCAUCUUCUCCAACAUCAGAAUCAGCUUCAUUCACAAUCACAGCUCUUGAAGUCGAAGCAUUACCACGCCGUGAGUAGAAUAGACCCGUCCUACGAGGAAGAUUGCGUCCCUCGACGACAUCAGAUGCACCAACAGCUCUAUCAACAUCCUCCCACGUAAGAUCAUCUCCAUCAUGAACUAUAUCUUGUUCGAGCACUAUCCACUCAUUACCCC